GGGGAUUUAGCUCAGUGGUAGAGCACUUGCCUAGUAAGCGCAAGGCCCUGGGUUCAGUCCCCA
rfam:Rattus norvegicus chromosome 6, whole genome shotgun sequence.